UUUUUUUUUUUUUGUUAACCAUCCUGCUAUAUCUCUGCUAAAAGGCAUGUGUGAGCCAAAAGUUUAAAGAAAUGGCAAUUUUAUAUCUUGGUAUUUUAAUUAUUGACAAAUAACAUUGUUUUCUAUCAUGUAUUUAUUUAACAAGUAUUUAUUGAAAUCUGAAAUAUACUGUCAGGAUCAAGAGCUUGGCCUUCUGAUAGUUCAUUGAAAAGUCAACUCACAAUAAGGCAGAGAAUCAGGGAAAGCUCAUACAAAUUUAUUUAAUGUUAUAAAUAAAAGCCUCCAGAAUGAAGACCCAAAGAAAUAAAGGGGAAAUUGCCCAUUUUUAUGCUUAGGUUCAACAAAGUAUGGACAGCUGUGUAGAACUAUGAUUGGACCAAAAGGAUAAGAUCUCCUGCUAAUGGACUGAGUGGGAAACCCAGCAACGUCUGCCUGGAUUCUUCUUGGCCUCUGUGAGCAUUCAGUACUUUCUUCUGGCUAUGGGGCUGGCCCCACUCUGAAAUGGGGGUCUUAUGACUAAAACCACCUAUGCAAAAUUAUAACUGAGGAAAUUAUGACAGUUGUUAGAAAUACCAAAAUUGUUAGAAAUAGUCGGUGCAGCAAAGAAAAGUCAGCACAGAGACAAAAGAUCUCCCAGCAAGGCAAUCUUUACUUUUUGCAGAAAGCGUGCCCAAUCGCAGAUGGAACAAUGGUGAGAGUACACCUGAACAAAGGAAAAGCAGAUGUAUUUAUCCCUUAUGCAUUUGGGUUGUCCUUACUGCUGUGUCCAGCAUCCAUUGACUGGAGCUGAACCUCACGAUCUUAAACUGAUACCCAAUUUGCUAAUAGCCUAAAACUUUCCUAAAUAGGCAAGUGCAAAGAAGAACAAAGAAGUUGCUUACAAAAGGUUUAAGGAAGCGAUAACAUUUCCAAAUAAGGAAGGGGCAUAGACUGUGAAGUGGAAUGUGCUUGUGAGCAUGUCCAACAGUUACAUAGGAUAGGGCUUAACAAAGAGUUAUUAGCACAAAGCAAGGAGGCUUGAAGAAAGUUAGUCUUUAAAAGAAACUACCAUUUCUAACACUUACGAUUUAUUAUUUAACAAGAAGGGGUACUUUGAAGAGGAAACUUUUUACUUUCUACAACAGUGAAAGAAAUCAGACCUAACCAAUUCCAUCUUGCUUCUAACCUUGAAGCUGUGCUUGUUCCCUCCUGGGGAUAGGCCGAACUGACUUUGGGAAGGAAUUCAGUUCAUGGUUUGACUUACGGGUCAUGCAGCCACUUGCUCCAAGUGUCUGAACCUCCCCAAAUUGCUCCUGGGGAUAACAUCACUAUUGUUAAACCUAAGAUCAAUGCUGGAGAUAUUUUGCAGACCCUGCACUGGAUGGAUCAACUGACACCACCCAGACCUGGCUCAACCAGUUCUGCCACCCCACCCAGGAACAGAAAACAGCAAGAAAAACUCACUUGGACCCUCUAUGAUUCCAUCUCCAACCUGACCAGUCAGCACUCCACACUUUGCAACCCCCUGCCGACCAAAUUAUCUUUAAAAACUCUGAUCCCUGAAUGCUCAGGGAGACUUAUUUGAAUAAUCAUAAAACUCUGAUCUCCUGCCUAGCUGGCUCUGUGUGAAUUACUCUUUCUCCAUUGUAAUUCCAAUCUUGAUAAAUCGGCUCU
ensembl:lncRNA